CUUGCACAUCUGUACAGCGUGUGCUGCCCACGCGGUGCAGAGUGGAUUGCCUGCACAGACAGGCAGAUUAACCCCACCCUCGGUGAGCCCGAUGGAAACCAGCCCGUGGGUAAUUACGAGAUGCGUUUUGCUAUCAUGCUUUUGGCUUUUCAACCAGGAUUCAAGACCAGCUUGGACUCAGUCUUAGAGCCCUUUCCAGAAUUGAUUGAAACCGGGGGUUAUUUUUAUCUGGGGGCGUCUUCCCCGUCGCCUCAUCUGAUGAAGACUGGACCUUCCCCCGAGCCUCCAGAACCGAUCCUCCUUAUUCCAGAUGCUCCCCGCUCCUGUUGCCAUGGAAAUCUGUGGCAUACAUUCUCCUAACCUAAUUCCAUUGGGCCUCAGACAAGAGCUCACACGGUAACCUGGCAGCCCGCCGCGUACCAGCAAAUUGCACCUCUGGAGAAAACGCCCAACGGGCGGGACGGAAACGGGAAGUGAAGCUCCGC
ensembl:lncRNA